rnacentral:lncRNA from 1 species
AUACAAACUCAUACUGCAGAGACUUCAUUAGCAGUAUAAUGCAGCUUAAGGUGGACAGACAGGAGACGUGCAAUGCUAUAGUCACAAAGGCUGAUCUAAUCUACAUAAAUGUGGGUGGCAGGCUAUCGAAAGGGAGGGGAGAGACUAUAUUUCCUCUGUUCAUACAGUAGCCAUUUUCCAUUGAAAUGUUUUGCCCAGUUCUUGCAUGCACAGUUCAGGAAGGAUGUCAGAAAAUAGGCUACAGAUCAGAAAAGGACUACACAAACAAAGAUUUGGAAAACGUGUCAGUGAAAGACAUGGAAGGUUAAUCUACUCUAUGGAAGAAAAAGGACCUCUGGAUUACCACAUACAAUUUCUUGCACAAAGUACAGAAAUUUCUAACACACAAAAGCGUAUGACUCCACAGCUAGGAGGUAAAGGGACUUGAGAGGGUUCAAGAAACAAACUCAGAAGACCAUUUAUCGCUGCAAGCCAUAUGGGCUUUGAGAGAGGCAAGACAAUAGAUGAAAAAAAAGAAGCCAGCAGAAAUAAAUGCAUUCAGAUAUGCA